rnacentral:rRNA from 1 species
AGCGCAGGCGGGAAGACAAGUUGGAAGUGAAAUCCAUGGGCUCAACCCAUGAACUGCUUUCAAAACUGUUUCUCUUGAGUAGUGCAGAGGUAGGCGGAAUUCCCGGUGUAGCGGUGGAAUGCGUAGAUAUCGGGAGGAACACCAGUGGCGAAGGCGGCCUACUGGGCACCAACUGACGCUGAGGCUCGAAAGUGUGGGUAGCAAACA